rnacentral:rRNA from 1 species
GAAAGCUUGCUUUCUUUGCUGACGAGUGGCGGACGGGUGAGUAAUGCUUGGGAAUCUGGCUUAUGGAGGGGGAUAACUACGGGAAACUGUAGCUAAUACCGCGUAAUAUCUACGGAUUAAAGGGUGGGACUUUCGGGCCACCUGCCAUAAGAUGAGCCCAAGUGGGAUUAGGUAGUUGGUUAGGUAAAGGCUGACCAAGCCGACGAUCUCUAGCUGGUCUGAGAGGAUGACCAGCCACACUGGAACUGAGACACGGUCCAGACUCCUACGGGAGGCAGCAGUGGGGAAUAUUGCACAAUGGGGGGAACCCUGAUGCAGCCAUGCCGCGUGAAUGAAGAAGGCCUUCGGGUUGUAAAGUUCUUUCGGUAGCGAGGAAGGUGGUUAUGUAAAUAGCAUAAUCAAUUGACGUUAACUACAGAAGAAGCACCGGCUAACUCCGUGCCAGCAGCCGCGGUAAUACGGGGGGUGCGAGCGUUAAUCGGAAUAACUGGGCGUAAAGGGCACGCAGGCGGUGACUUAAGUGAGAUGUGAAAGCCCCGAGCUUAACUUGGGAAUUGCAUUUCAUACUGGGUCGCUAGAGUACUUUAGGGAGGGGUAGAAUUCCACGUGUAGCGGUGAAAUGCGUAGAGAUGUGGAGGAAUACCGAAGGCGAAGGCAGCCCCUUGGGAAUGUACUGACGCUCAUGUGCGAAAGCGUGGGGAGCAAACAGGAUUAGAUACCCUGGUAGUCCACGCUGUAAACGCUGUCGAUUUGGGGGUUGGGCUUUGAGCUUGGCGCCCGUAGCUAACGUGAUAAAUCGACCGCCUGGGGAGUACGGCCGCAAGGUUAAAACUCAAAUGAAUUGACGGGGGCCCGCACAAGCGGUGGAGCAUGUGGUUUAAUUCGAUGCAACGCGAAGAACCUUACCUACUCUUGACAUCCAUA